CAGGGACUCACAAAGAUAUCACAACACAACUCUAAAACAUAAAUAAGUCAUGCAAGCAUCAUAAUACAAGCCAGGGGCCUCGAGGGCUCGAAUACAAGUGCUCGAUCAUAGACAAGUCAGCAGAAGCAAUAAUAUCUGAGUACAGACAUAAGUUAAACAAGUUGCCAUAAGAUGGCUAGCACAAACUAGGAUACAGAUCGAAAGAGGCGCAGGCCUCCUACCUGGGAUCCUCCUAAACUACUCCUGGUCGUCAUCAGCGGCCUACACGUAGUAGUAGGCACCUCCAGUGUAGUAGGAGUCGUCGUCGGCGGUGGCGUCUGGCUCCUAGGCUCCGGCAUCUGUUUGCGACAACCAGGUAGAAUGGAAAGGGGGAAAAGAGGGAGAAAAGCAACCGUGAGUACUCAUCCAAAGUACUCGCAAGCAAGGAUCUACACUACAUAUGCAUGGGUAUAUGUGUAAAGAGGCAAUAUGGGUGGACUGAAUUGCAGAAUGCCAGAAUAAGAGGGUAAAGCUAGUCCUAUCAAAGACUACGCUUCUGGCAGCAUCCGUCUUGCAGCAUGUAGAAGAGAGUAGAUUGAAGUCCUCCAAGUAGCAUCGCAUAGCAUAAUCCUACCCAGCGAUCCUCCCCUCGUCGCCCUGUGGAAAAGCGAUAAUCGGAUUGUCUGCGGAACUUGUCUGGGUGUGUUUUAUUAAGUAUCUGGUUCUAGUUGUCAUAAGGUCAAGGUACAACUCCGGGUCGUCCUUUUACCGAGGGACACAGCUAUUUGAAUAGAUAAACUUCCCUGCAGGGGUGCACCACAUAACCCAACACGCUCGAUCCCAUUUGGCCGGACACACUUUCCUGGAUCAUGCCCGACCUCGAAAGAUCAACAUGUCGCAGCCCCACCUAGGCCUAACAGAGAGGUCAGCACGCUGGUCUAACUCCUAUGGCGCAGGGGUCUGGGCCCAUCGCCCAUUGCACACCUGCACGUUGCGUACGCAGCCGGAAGCAGACCUAGCCUCCCUAAUACAAGAGCAGGUGUUCCAGUCCAAUCCGGCGUGCGCCGCUCAGUCGCUGACGUCUAGAAGGCUUCGGCUGAUACCACGACGUCGAGUUCCCACAUCUUUCCCGCGUAGUUGGUUAGUGCGUAUAGGCCAGUGGCCAGACUCAGAUCAAAUACCAAGAUCUCGUAAAGCGUGUUAUUAUGAAGCAACCGCGAACGCCGACCAGGGCCAGACCCACCUCUCUCCUAGGUGGCCUCAACCUGCCUUGUCGCUCCGCCACAAAGAUCCACACAGAGGGCCGUCGGGAAAGUAUGUCCUUUUAGCCCCCAAUUCGUGAAUCAACCGCGGAUACUCAACGAGCCAACCCGACUUUAGUCACCAUCUGUAUAGUAUGUAUUUAUAGUAUAUACCCGUGAUCACCUCCCGAGUGAUCACGGCCCGAUAGUAUAGCAAGGCAGACUGACAAGAAUGUAGGGCCACAAAUGAUAAACUAGCAUCCUAUACUAAGUAUUUAGGAUUGCAGGUGAGGUAUCAACAUAUGUAGCAACAAUGUGAGGCUAUGCAUCAAAAUAGGAUUAAUGGAAAGCAGUAACAUGCUACACUACUCUAAUGCAAGCAGUAUAGAGGAGAAUAGGUAAUAUCUGAUGAUCAAGGGGGGGGGGGGCUUGCCUGGUUGCUCUAGCAAGUAGGGGUCAUCAACAACGUAGUCGGUCAGGGCACCAGCAGCGGCAUCGGUCUCGUAGUCUACCGGAGAGAAGAAGGGGAAGAAACAAUGAAUAAAAUGUAAACAAAAGCAUAACGAUGCAAGCCAAAGCAAACAACGGUGUUAGGUGUGCCCUAACGCGGUAGGAGGAGAUACCGACGAAGGGGGAAAUCAUUCGGGAAAGUAUCUCCGGUGUUCCGCGUUUUCGGACAAAUGAACCGGAGGGGGAAAGUUGCGUGUUUGAUAUACUAGAGAUGUGUGGCGGACAAACGGGCUACGUAUUCAGAUUCGUCUCGUCGUUCUGAGCAACUUUCAUGUAUAAAUCUUUUCCAUCCGAGCUAGGUUUAUUUUAUAUUAAUUUUUAAAGCUUUAAAUGAUUUUCUAAAAUUCUGGAGUUAAUUUAAUUCGAAAAUAUAUUAAAUACUAAAUGCUACGGGUACACAGAAGUGUACCCAAAGAUAUGACUAUUUGACUGACAGGUGGGCCCUAUUGACCGCCUAGUCAAUGGUCAACAGUCAACUUGUUGACUGGUCCAACUGUCAUGUGGGGGCCACAUGUCAUAGACUGCUAGUUAAACUAUUUAAAUAACUAGAUUUAUUUAGCGCGGGGACCCAUAUGUCAGUGGGACAAUUUGUUAAACAGAGUUUUAAACGGUUUUAGUUAAUCUACUUAAGUAGUGGGGCCUACUGUCAGCGCCUAAUUAGUGUUAGGAUUAGGGGCAUUAGCACGUAAUCCAACAGGGGCACCCGGCCUGUAUCUAGCGGCAGCAGCAGCCAAAAGCAGCUAGCAGGGGGGCGGCAGCAGGCCGCAUGGGGAGUGGAGGCCGGCGGUGGGCGCAGGGUGUGGUGGCCGGCGGUGGGGGGGUCGCCGCUGGCGAGCGAGCGGCAGGCGGCGGAGAUGGGUGGAGCAGGCGCGGUCGGCCCGAGCAGUGGCGAGCCACAGCCGCUGCUGCGAACGGGGCGGAGGCCACGGCGGCAACAGCCGCAGCGGCCGGUGCGGGUCUGUACUCGCGCUUGGCCGAGGUAGUAGACGCAGCGGUAGGGGGGCAACGAUGCGAGCAGGGGCAGCGGUCCGCGCGUGUGGGCACGACUUCGGUCGACAGGGGGCGGGCCUGGCAAGGCGAAGGCGCACACAAGCGAGGCGACAACAGCCGGAGCAACAGCGACGCGGUGCGUGCUCAUACGGCGACAAAUCCGAGGGGGGAUAGGGGGAAUGGGUGCGGCUCACCGAGGGUAAGGCGGUGGCGAGCUCGGGGUGGUUCGGGGAGGACCGGAGGUAGCAGAUCGACGAGGCAGAGCAGACGUCCCUGGUCGAAGAGGAGGGGUCCAUGGCGGCGGCUCCGGGGCGCUCUAGCUCGAGCCGGUUGCCGUGGAGGUAGAGGACGUCGAGGCGCAUCUCCUGGGUGCCUUCGGGCGGGACGGGGUGGUGCCGGAGCGUGUCAACGACGAGGCGGCGUUGACGACUGCGUACGGGUGCCUCUCCAGAUCGGGGAGGAGAGCGAAGGGGAAGAAGUGGAUAGGAUAGGGUUUGACAGCGGCGUCGGGUACGGUCUUAUCCUCCGCUGGGAGACGGUGGGGAGGCGCGGUAUGGCCGCCUCGUGGCUAAUCCAUCUAUGGACGACACACGGUCGUCCACCACGGUCGGUGAACAGAGAACGAAGAAGACAGAGGGGAGGAGUUGGGCU
rnacentral:lncRNA from 1 species